rnacentral:lncRNA from 1 species
UCACAGACCCCUUUGUGCAAAGAAGACCAUCUUUUAGGACUGUUUUGGCCUGUUGGUGCCCUUGUCCUCAACACACUGCAGCUCAGUGGUGGCUCUGUCCCCUGGGACCCGGCGUGCAUUUCUGGGUGGUAUCACUUGCUGGAGUCCAUGCUGCAGGGUUGUCAGGGCUAGCAGUUUCUCAGAUGGGAUGGCCCUGGACAGGCACUGGUGCCUGAGUCUCUUGGGUGGGUUGUGAGUGAGGUCUUAGAAGGGAAAAGAUGGUUUUCAUUGGUUUCCAUCUUCCAAGGAGCAUGAUGAGGACUGGUACGGUUUGAGGAGUAAUUGCCUCACCUUCAGAGAAGAGGGCAUGUAGUUAUUCUAAUUAAUAUUCAUAAUGGGGAACUUUAGAGAUGAGCUUUAAUUUUUAAACAAAUUUUUUAGCUGUUGAUGGACCUUUAUUUUAUUCAUAUUUAUGUCCCGUGCUGAAAACUG